GUAAGGAAUCUUCCGCAAUGGACGAAAGUCUGACGGAGCAACACCGCGUGAUCGAUGAAGCCCCUUGGGGUGUAAAGAUCUUUUCUGAGAGACGAAUUCUGACGGUAUCUUAGGAAUAAGCACCGGCUAACUCUGUGCCAGCAGCCGCGGUAAUACAGAGGGUGCAAGCGUUAUCCGGAAUCAUUGGGCGUAAAGCGUUCGUAGGUGGAUUGUUAAGUUGGGUGUUAAAUUUUGCAGCUCAACUGCAAAAAAGUGCCCAAAACUGGCAAACUAGAGUUUUGCAGAGGUACGUGGAAUUCUGUAUGUAGGGGUAAAAUCCGUAGAUAUACAGAGGAACACCAAAAGCGAAGGCAGCGUACUGGGCAAAUACUGACACUCAAGAACGAAAGCGUGGGGAGCGAACGGGAUUAGAAACCCGGGUAGUCC
rnacentral:rRNA from 1 species